UAUACCCCUCUACUGUAUCACUGUAUAUUCCCUGUGAGUCAAGAGUAUUAAAAUGUAUCCCUAAUAUCCAUUUGAACAUAAGGUUUUUUCUACAUUUGGAGCAUCUGACAGACACAAUCUACAUUUAUAUCAUUUUUAUACAACUGAUCGUUUGCUUUAAUAUGUUAAUUUUCUAGUUGUUGCCUUUAUUGUGAAGUUCAUGCCUUUAUCUUAAAGGAUGUAGUGCUAAAAAAAAAGGGGAGAGGGCUUAGUGUCGUAAAAAAGUGGAGGAAUGAAAACCUAGUAAUGUCGCGCCUGCAACGUGAAAGAUACGUUCUAGCUUUGUUCAGUACCUGACUGAAGGAGGCACAAGCAGACAGGAUGAGUUCAGGAUGAGCUGUAUCAGGAUCCAGAGUCACAUCCACUGAGAGAAACACACAGUGUGUGACAUGAGUAUGCAGGUAAAAAUAUUAAAUCAUCAUCCAGUGAAUCAUAUUCAUUAGGAUUUAUAAGAGGAUUUGUAGAAGAAUAAAUAAUGAAAUAUUUUUAAGAAUAUCACUCAAAAAAAGGAAAAAAAAAACUUUUCUAGUUUAUAGUACAGGUCUGUCAAAGGUGAGAAAUAUAAAAUGCAGUGGUGUACUGUAACAAAGUAAAAUUACUUCGUUACAGUACUUAAGUAUUUUUUGAGAGUUUUUGUACUUUACUUGAGUUUUUAUAUUUCUGUCAACUUUUACUUUUACUUCACUGCUUUUUUGAAACAAAUUCUAUGCUUUUACUCCAAUACAUUUUUUGUUCGGCAUUUUCGUUACUUACUACAAAAAAACCUGCGUCCAAAUCUGCGGUAAAGGAAGUUUGUGGUUAGUGAUGACUUUAGGCCAUGUCCACACGUAGCUGGGUAUUUUUAAAAAUGGAGAUUUUUCUUUGCGUUUUUUUAAAUUCUACGUGUUAAAAAUAUCUUUGUCCACAUGAAAACACAAAACGCACUGCUAAGUGCUGUCAGGAGCAUGCCUAGUUAAUCAGAAGCCUAGACAAAACUUUAUUAACAGUUCCGGUAGUUUAACAACAAUGGCACAUCGUAGGAAAGCGAUGCCCUUGAAAUGCGAAAAUUUCACUAUAGAAUGUAGAAGUCUGACCGGGUCUCGUCCAAAACCGCCGUCGCUGUGUGCAUUGUCGGAGUUUUGUAUGUAGCAGCAGUGAGCUCCAUAUUACAUUCCGGCCCUCUGUUCAUGAACGUAAUGUGUGAGUAACUGCGCGUGUAUGUGCAUGCAUGGAAAAAGUCCAGUAAACAACGUUAACACAGUCAGUAGUUUACGUAAGUCUGCAUUGCACAAAAUAUCUUCAUAAACAAAGCUGACGUCAAAUCAAGGAGACGGGCACACAGAGAAUGAUGUCAAUUCAAAACAGUCAAAAUCUCCGUUUCCCCUGUCCACACAACACCACUGAAAAUGGACUUUUGGAAAAUCUUUACUUUGGAAGGAGUUACUUUAUACAACACUGAUAAAAUGUUUCUUCUUAGUGAUAUAUUUCUGUUUAGAAUUUUUGUUUUUCAGGAAAGAGUCACAGAAAAACAUUUGAGGAAAAACUUGAUCCUGAUGGACAAAAUAGUACAGUAAUGGUCUCUAUACCAGAGGGUCUGAUCCUUUUUGACAUGAAGUGCAGUUUGAAAUGUUCUUGUUAAUAAGUGCACCAUAUCAACAUUGAGUUUAAUUAUGACACCAUAUAAAAAAUCAUUUUCAGCAAACCUAGAAUUUUAUUCCAGCCGUAUACAGUGCUCAGCAUGAAUGAUUACACCCCCUUUCAAAAUGAAGAUUUUUAUCCAUUUCUCAGUGAAUAUGAGACCAAUUUACUGCAUUUUUACAAAACUGUUUUAUUAAACGAUUAUCUUUUAUUAGUUUAAGAGCGUGGCCAACUGACAUCUUUAGGAACAGAAAAAUAAUAGAUUCAAUUCAUGUGAGGUGAAAAAUGAUUAUACCCUACAACAAAUUCAACUAAAUCUAAUAUUUUUAUGUCCUUCUUCAGAAACAACUUAAACGAGAGUCAGAAAUAAAAAAUAAACCAUUGAUCCAAGUGGUGUAAUUUUAUCAGCAUUAUACUGGAGUGGAUUUUCUCUCUUAAAUAUCUCUUAAUUGUCACUUAUCCUGUGGUCACCUGUGUGAUGAUUGAUUAGACUCAUCCGCUGGUGAAUUCCUGUUCAUUACAAUUUUAUAUUAUGUUUUCUCCAAACACAUUCAUUGCUGUUUACUCAUUUUUGGACCAUGAUCUUAAAUUAUUUUAUUAGAAUAGUUCCAGUGUUGUCUUUGGUAAUGACUAAUCUCAUUUAAAUCCAAUAAACCAGAUUUGUAUAAAUAUCUCAUUGUAUAGGAUCAAAAAGGGAUUCUGAAGAAUAUCAAAAACAAAUACAGGACUAUAUAAGAAUGCUGCCAUCAUCAUGAAAACAUCCACAUCAGAAAUAUGCAAACUAAAGCUGCAACUAAUGAUUAUUUUCUAAUCGAUUCAUCUGUAAACUAUUUCUUCUAUUAAUCGAUUACUCUAAUGAUUUUUUUUAUUGGUCUAUCGAUUAUUUUCUGGCUGUGAACUCUCCAAUAAAGAAUAACUUAUACCAUAAAUGUUUUAACCUUUUAUUUAACUGUACUUUUUUAUUCAUAUAUUUAUUUAUUUUACAAAUAAAAAUGUUCCAACAUAAAAAAUAUCCUGGAGGGAAGUGUGUAAGUGUGUGAAAUGUGUUAAUUAUGUCAUGAAAGCUCUGACCCUCCACAAUAGAAAGCAGCCUCAUAUCCUUUGACAAUCAUGUUAGAAUGCAUGAAUUUUAGGUAAUCUAUGAA